rnacentral:rRNA from 1 species
UAAGUAAGCUUUGAUCCAGAGAUUUCCGAAUGGGGAAACCCAGCAUGAGUUAUGUCAUGUUAUCGAUAUGUGAAUACAUAGCAUAUCAGAAGGCACACCCGGAGAACUGAAACAUCUUAGUACCCGGAGGAAGAGAAAGAAAAUUCGAUUCCCUUAGUAGCGGCGAGCGAAACGGGAAGAGCCCAAACCAACAAGCUUGCUUGUUGGGGUUGUAGGACACUCUAUACGGAGUUACAAAGGACGACAUUAGACGAAUCAUCUGGAAAGAUGAAUCAAAGAAGGUAAUAAUCCUGUAGUCGAAAAUGUUGUCUCUCUUGAGUGGAUCCUGAGUACGACGGAGCACGUGAAAUUCCGUCGGAAUCUGGGAGGACCAUCUCCUAAGGCUAAAUACUCUCUAGUGACCGAUAGUGAACCAGUACCGUGAGGGAAAGGUGAAAAGCACCCCGGAAGGGGAGUGAAAUAGAACCUGAAACCGUGUGCUUACAAGUAGUCAGAGCCCGUUAAUGGGUGAUGGCGUGCCUUUUGUAGAAUGAACCGGCGAGUUACGAUUUGAUGCAAGGUUAAGCAGUAAAUGUGGAGCCGUAGCGAAAGCGAGUCUGAAUAGGGCGUUUAGUAUUUGGUCGUAGACCCGAAACCAGGUGAUCUACCCUUGGUCAGGUUGAAGUUCAGGUAACACUGAAUGGAGGACCGAACCGACUUACGUUGAAAAGUGAGCGGAUGAACUGAGGGUAGCGGAGAAAUUCCAAUCGAACCUGGAGAUAGCUGGUUCUCUCCGAAAUAGCUUUAGGGCUAGCCUCAAGUGAUGAUUAUUGGAGGUAGAGCACUGUUUGGACGAGGGGCCCCUCUCGGGUUACCGAAUUCAGACAAACUCCGAAUGCCAAUUAAUUUAACUUGGGAGUCAGAACAUGGGUGAUAAGGUCCGUGUUCGAAAGGGAAACAGCCCAGACCACCAGCUAAGGUCCCAAAAUAUAUGUUAAGUGGAAAAGGAUGUGGCGUUGCCCAGACAACUAGGAUGUUGGCUUAGAAGCAGCCAUCAUUUAAAGAGUGCGUAAUAGCUCACUAGUCGAGUGACACUGCGCCGAAAAUGUACCGGGGCUAAACAUAUUACCGAAGCUGUGGAUUGUCCUUUGGACAAUGGUAGGAGAGCGUUCUAAGGGUGUUGAAGCAUGAUC